GACGAACGCUGGCGGCGUGCUUAACACAUGCAAGUCGAGCGGGAUCCAACCGGUGGCAACACCGGGGAAGAUCUAGCGGCGAACGGGUGAGUAACACGUGAGCAACCUGCCCCGAAGACUGGGAUAACACCGGGAAACCGGUGCUAAUACCGGAUGUCGUCAUUAGGCCGCAUGACCUGAUGAUGAAAGGAUUCAUCGCUUCGGGAGGGGCUCGCGGGCUAUCAGCNGUUGGUGGGGUAACGGCCUACCAAGGCGACGACGGCUAGCUGGUCUGAGAGGACGACCAGCCACACUGGGACUGAGACACGGCCCAGACUCCUACGGGAGGCAGCAGUGGGGAAUAUUGGACAAUGGGCGCAAGCCUGAUCCAGCGAUGCCGCGUGUGUGAAGAAGGCCUGCGGGUUGU
rnacentral:rRNA from 1 species